rnacentral:rRNA from 1 species
UGCAGUCGAGCGGUAGAGAGAAGCUUGCUUCUCUUGAGAGCGGCGGACGGGUGAGUAAUGCCUAGGAAUCUGCCUGGUAGUGGGGGAUAACGUUCGGAAACGGACGCUAAUACCGCAUACGUCCUACGGGAGAAAGCAGGGGACCUUCGGGCCUUGCGCUAUCAGAUGAGCCUAGGUCGGAUUAGCUAGUUGGUGGGGUAAUGGCUCACCAAGGCGACGAUCCGUAACUGGUCUGAGAGGAUGAUCAGUCACACUGGAACUGAGACACGGUCCAGACUCCUACGGGAGGCAGCAGUGGGGAAUAUUGGACAAUGGGCGAAAGCCUGAUCCAGCCAUGCCGCGUGUGUGAAGAAGGUCUUCGGAUUGUAAAGCACUUUAAGUUGGGAGGAAGGGUUGUAGAUUAAUACUCUGCAAUUUUGACGUUACCGACAGAAUAAGCACCGGCUAACUCUGUGCC